GCCGCGGUAAGACGUAGGGCGCAAGCGUUGUCCGGAUUUAUUGGGCGUAAAGAGCUCGUAGGCGGCGUGUCGCGUCGACUGUGAAAACCCGCAGCUCAACUGCGGGCCUGCAGCCGAUACGGGCAGGCUAGAGUUCGGUAGGGGAGACUGGAAUUCCUGGUGUAGCGGUGAAAUGCGCAGAUAUCAGGAGGAACACCGGUGGCGAAGGCGGGUCUCUGGGCCGAUACUGACGCUGAGGAGCGAAAGCGUGGGGAGCGAACAGGAUUAGAUACCCUGGUAGUCCACGCUGUAAACGUUGGGCGCUAGGUGUGGGGGGCCUCUCCGGUUCUCUGUGCCGCAGCUAACGCAUUAAGCGCCCCGCCUGGGGAGUACGGCCGCAAGGCUAAAACUCAAAGGAAUUGACGGGGGCCCGCACAAGCGGCGGAGCAUGCGGAUUAACUCGAUGCAACGCGAA
rnacentral:rRNA from 1 species